GAGGAAAAGAAACCAACUGGGAUUACCUUAGUAACGGCGAGUGAAGCGGUAAAAGCUCAAAUUUGAAAUUUGGUACUUUCAGUGCCCGAGUUGUAAUUUGUAGAAUUUGUCUUUGAUUAGGUCCUUGUUUAUGUUCCUUGGAACAGGACGUCAUAGAGGGUGAGAAUCCCGUUUGGCGAGGAUACCUUUUCUCUGUAAGACUUUUUCGAAGAGUCGAGUUGUUUGGGAAUGCAGCUCAAAGUGGGUGGUAAAUUCCAUCUAAAGCUAAAUAUUGGCGAGAGACCGAUAGCGAACAAGUACAGUGAUGGAAAGAUGAAAAGAACUUUGAAAAGAGAGUGAAAAAGUACGUGAAAUUGUUGAAAGGGAAGGGCAUUUGAUCAGACAUGGUGUUUUUUGCAUGCACUCGCCUCUCGUGGGCUUGGGCCUCUCAAAAAUUUCACUGGGCCAACAUCAAUUCUGGCAGCAGGAUAAAUCAUUAAGAAUGUAGUUACUUCGGUAGUGUUAUAGCUUUUGGAAUACU
rnacentral:rRNA from 1 species